rnacentral:rRNA from 1 species
AGUGAACGCUGGCGGCGUGCCUAACACAUGCAAGUCGAACGAGAAACACCUUCGGGUGUGAGUAGAGUGGCGCACGGGUGCGUAACGCGUAUAGAACCUACCUUUUACUGAGGGAUAGCCUUUAGAAAUGAAGAUUAAUACCUCAUGGUAUUGAAUUUUGGCAUCAGAAUUUAAUUAAAGAUUUAUUGGUAAAAGAUGGCUAUGCGUCCUAUUAGCUAGAUGGUAAGGUAACGGCUUACCAUGGCAACGAUAGGUAGGGGUCCUGAGAGGGAGAUCCCCCACACUGGUACUGAGACACGGACCAG